GAUGAACGCUGGCGGCGUGCUUAACACAUGCAAGUCGAACGAUGAUCCCCAGCUUGCUGGGGGGAUUAGUGGCGAACGGGUGAGUAACACGUGAGUAACCUGCCCUUAACUCUGGGAUAAGCCUGGGAAACUGGGUCUAAUACCGGAUAUGACUUCCCAUCGCAUGGUGGGGGGUGGAAAGCUUUUGUGGUUUUGGAUGGACUCGCGGCCUAUCAGCUUGUUGGUGAGGUAAUGGCUCACCAAGGCGACGACGGGUAGCCGGCCUGAGAGGGUGACCGGCCACACUGGGACUGAGACACGGCCCAGACUCCUACGGGAGGCAGCAGUGGGGAAUAUUGCACAAUGGGCGGAAGCCUGAUGCAGCGACGCCGCGUGAGGGAUGACGGCCUUCGGGUUGUAAACCUCUUUCAGUAGGGAAGAAGCGUAAGUGACGGUACCUGCAGAAGAAGCGCCGGCUAACUACGUGCCAGCCGCCGCCGUAA
rnacentral:rRNA from 1 species